ACGGCACGGCACGGCACGGACGCUCGCGCGAGCCGCGAGCGGCGACGAGCCCGCGGAACGCGUCGCAUGCAUUUUUCCCGACUGUACCACCACUGUCGUCUGCGGCUGUGUCAAUAGGAGCCAAUCUAAGUACAUAUGCACACACAGACGUAACGCAACUCGCCGCACACUGCGACUUCUCGUGAUGCAAUCGUGUGCCUCGUGCCUCGCGCAGUUUCGACAUUCUCUUUGCCCCGCGCUAUGCGCAAAGUGCGGCAACGAAUUCCGCGAUCGGACGAUCGAUCGAUCUCUCGGUGCGGACCUGAAAUUUUAACCUCCGACCCCGAGCGAGAGAUCCACCCCGGCCCCGGGGCCCUAGGCUCGCGUCGGGACGACAUGACGACGACGACGACGACGACGACGACGACAAAACGGCUGAUCCGCGCUGUGCAGCUCGCGUAUGGGCGUAUCUGUCGCUUUCGUGUUUUCUGAGACUUUGUGCGUGCCGCGAGAUAAGAUAAGUGCGCGCGGAUCCAGGAUCAAGGUGACGAUGAUAGCGUCGUGACUUCGGACGGCGUCGUGAUCGCUCCGGAAAAAACUGACGCGCCUCGCAGCGUUAUCGGAAAAAUACCGCGACGACAACGACGAUGAUUACGGCGGUGGCGGCGGCGGCGGCGGCGGCGAUGGCACCAUUCUUACGAGCGAAUGCGAAAUAAUAGCGCGCGCUCUUCUGCGCGUCAGAGAGAGAGAGAGAGAGAGAGAGCGUCCUCGCUCCAGGAAUAUCGGAGCCGUGAACAUUUCAUCCGCAGAGAACCGCCGGAGGACGUGGCACGACGGAGGCGCGUAAAACUGCCCAGACGUUUCUGCGGCUAUGCGGAAGGGACAAUGGCAGAGUUGCGUAAUCCUAACCAAAAAACGCGCAUCCGUCGAGGAGAGCUGCGUGCACCUUGGAGAAUGAAAAGAUGAGCGAGGCGACCUAUUGAGUUCUAGUGAUUGUCGUCGUUCGUGAAUAACGUGCGCCGUCAAGGCUGUGAAAAAGAAAAGGAGAAGGAAUACGAAAGAAGCGGACGGAAGAUUUUUCGGCGGGAUGAUGACGUGUCCGUGAAUUUUGCCGAGUCGAGAUUUCAGGUUCCACGUCAACUCACAAAUCCCAUCGGCUUAAAGGACACUACGAAGGCUAUACUGUCCGACCUCGAUGCGAUAAAUGGUUACUGUGUGCAAUUUUUGUUCCACAUUGUGUUGUGGACUUGGAGACUUUAGAAUUGUUUCGUACUCGAUUGUCUAAAUAUCUACAUGUGUAUAAUAAAUAU